rnacentral:rRNA from 4 species
CCAGGUCUCCGUUGGUGAACCAGCGGAGGGAUCAUUG